AGUAAUUAUUUUUAUAGUAUUAAUAAGUGAAGGGUGGAAUAACAUGUGUACAUAUUGCCCGUCGCUCUCGCUAUUUUUGAGAUAAGUCGUAACAUAGUUGAUGUACUGGAAAGUGUAUCUUUUU
rnacentral:rRNA from 4 species